UACGGAGGGUGCAAGCGUUAUCCGGAUUCACUGGGUUUAAAGGGCGCGUAGGCGGGUUGGUAAGUCAGUGGUGAAAUCUUCAAGCUUAACUUGGAAACUGCCGUUGAUACUAUCAAUCUUGAAUAUUGUGGAGGUAAGCGGAAUAUGUCAUGUAGCGGUGAAAUGCUUAGAUAUGACAUAGAACACCGAUAGCGAAGGCAGCUUGCUACACAGUAAUUGACGCUGAGGCACGAAAGCGUGGGGAUCAAACAGG
rnacentral:rRNA from 1 species